rnacentral:lncRNA from 1 species
CCUAAUUUAGGUAUCUGAAUUUGGUACUUAAAAUUAAGCAGACUCAACCCUCACUAGAGUACUUUUUGAGGUCCUGACACUGCUGGUGGCUUUCCACAAAGACAAAGAUCAUUGGAUCAUUCUUCUGUUAAGUAAUCUUGAUUGCUGAGCAACAAAAAAAUGUUCUUCCUCUUAUCCAUGCCUUUGGUUUACAGGAUAAAAAAUUGUAAAUACAGGUAUAAAUUAUAUCCCUACAAGGCCUUUUGGUGGAAAAUUUCAUGGACAGGUUUCCCAGAGAGGUAACCAAAGCUUAACAUCCUCAUCUUCCAGCUUCUGGGACCCAGUGUUUCUUUUGCUAUGAACCAUUUUGUCCUUCCCUUUCAUACCAAACCUCCUCCUUGUCUCCCAAGAGCUGUAAGAGUUCUCUGCCACUCAUGAUUCUGUUCUCUUCUCAGAACACACGAGGACUGGGCCUGGUCUGCACCCGAGCCUGCCCAUGGCAAGGUCCAUCAGGCACUUCAGCAUCGGUGUUUCUGCAGGAGGCAGCUCCUGGCAAGUCUGAGGCCAGAAGGAAAGAUGCCCAUCAGCCUUCCCAGCCUAGUCCUGCCUUUUCACCUCUGAUCAGUCAGCUCUUCAACAUCCUGUCUGGAGGAUGCCACUCACCCCCUGUUAGAUUGAGAAGGUGUUGCCAAUGGACUGAAAAUCGUCUCCUUUUCCUGGGAAUUCUGAGCAAUCUCCCUGGAGGAGCUGCUUCACCACCACUGCUUCCUAAGAGAUGUUCUUCCCUGGAGCAACACGAGUUUGUGCAGGUGAAAAUCAUGGUGCAACCUCCUUGCAGAUUUUCACAUUUCCAGCUGUCUUGCAGGAAGCCUGAACAACUCAGGAUGCCAAGGUACAGCCAGAACCCUGGGCUCAUUUGUUCCACAGAAGUUUAUUGCUG